GACGAGGGGUCCAAGCGUUGUUCGGAAUCAUUGGGCGUAAAGCGGGUGUAGGCGGCUCUAUAAGUCAGACGUGAAAGCCCCGAGCUUAACUUGGGAAGUGCUUUUGAUACUGCAGAGCUUGAAUGUGGGAGAGGGUAGUGGAAUUCCAGGUGUAGUGGUGAAAUACGUAGAUAUCUGGAGGAACACCGGUGGCGAAGGCAGCUCGCUGGGACGUUACUGACGCUGAGACGCGAAAGCGUGGGGAGCAAACAGG
rnacentral:rRNA from 1 species